rnacentral:rRNA from 1 species
GUACCAAAAACAUAGCUCUAUAUAAAUUUAAAGUGUGGGACCUGGUCAGUGCUGAUAGAUUAAAAAAUAAACUAUUGGUAAACACACGCCUUAGCGUGAGGGUGGUAAUGUAGCAUAAUAAUUUGGCAUUUAAUUGGUGUCUGGAAGGAAAGGUGAAACGAUUCUUUAGGUGUCUCUCUUUUUGUUUUUUAGAAUUUGGAAAAAUAGUUAAGAUACUAUUGUUAAACUAUUAGACGAGAAGACCCCAUAAACCUUUACUAUUAGAAUUCUCUCUUUUAACUUUAUAUAAGGACUUUAAAGAAUUUUAGGUAGUUUGGCUGGGGCGGCAGCUUUCUAAUUUAACGAAAGUAAAUUUAAUAAAAAGAAGUCUUCUUUUUUAUUUCGUUUAGACUAAAUUCUUAACGAUUUUAAUAAGAUAGUGACCUAUUUGUUUCUUAAAAAACAAAUCAUUAGUUGAUAAAAGGUACUUUGGGGAUAACAGCGUUAUCCAAAGAGAGAGUUUAAAUCCAGCUUUGGGUUUGCGACCUCGAUGUUGAAUUGGGAUAUCCUUUAGGUACAGCAGUCUAAAAAGGUUGGAUUGUUCAUCCAAUAAAAUCUUACAUGAUUUGAGU